rnacentral:misc_RNA from 1 species
UCUCCGUUGGUGAACCAGCGGAGGGAUCAUUACCGAGUUUACAACUCCCAAACCCCAGGUGAACCUUACCAAACGUUGCUUCGGCGGGAUGCCCCGGGCGCGGGCCGCAAGGCCUCAGCCCCGGAACCAGGCGCCCGCCGGAGGCCCAAACCAAACUCUUGUUUUUGUAGAAUCUUCUGAGUGGCCUUUUAGGCAAAAAAUGAAUCAAAACUUUCAACAACGGAUCUCUUGGUUCUG